AUCGACGUAUAGAUAUGUGCUUACAUCGUCAGAAAUGGAGGCAGUAAUGGAGUUGAUUGCGAUAGCAAAUAAUACCACACUUAAGGUAGAACCUUGCGGUAUUCCAUUUUCUAACGUUCUGGACGUAGAAAGCGUAUUACCUACUCUAACACGAAAUUGUCGAUCUUGUAGAAAGGAGGAGAUAAGUUUCGGUAGGUUUCCUUUCAAACCCCAACGUCUGCAACCCUCCGUGUCUCCACGUCAUGUCAAAUGCCUUUUCAACAUCAAAGAAGACUGCAACUGCGUGAUGUCUAUGGGAGAAGGUUUCAAGUAUCUUAUUUUGUAGGUGUACUAGAUGAUCAGCGGUUGAUCUGUGUCUUCUGUAUCCUGCCUGGCAGCUUGUAAAGCGUUCCUCUUUUUCAAGCAGCCACAUUAAUCGAUAGCUUACCAUGCGCUCAAACACUUUAGCUAUGCAUGAAGUUAAGCUGAUCGGUCGGUAACUUGAGGCCAGGUACGGAUUUUUUGCACUUUUUAAAAUAGGGAUCACGAUCGCUUCCUUCCAGCAGGUUAGAUAUACGCCUCGGUGGAGUAGGGUCUUAUAUACCGUAUAGAGGUUCCUUAACAUCUCGUAAGUUAUAAGAUCUGGCCCAGGAGAGGAAGAUUUAUUGCACGUGAGUGCCGUUUCGAGCUCAAUCAUUGUAAAAGAGUGAUUAUAGUCGAAGUCUUCCAAGUGUGUGAAGUUGAGGUCUACUUCGUUCCUAGCUUUAUGUGCUAAGAAUCGUGGCUCAUAAUUUUCCGUACUGCUAGCUUUUUGAAAUUGGUCUGCUAGAAGCUCAGCAGUUUGCUCUGGUUGACUUGUCACUUGGUUAUUAUUAAUUUGCAGUUGUAUUGUAAUAGCAUUCUUUCCCGAUACUGCUUUAAUCUUUUGCCAUACUUGUUUAGUAGGAGUUUGGUGGGUAAUUGUUGACGUAUAGUUAUUCCAAGUUGCUCUUUUACUUUGAAGAAUCGUUCUACGGGCAUUUGCUCUUGCCUUUUUAAAAACUAUAAGGUGUUCAUUUGUGGGAUAUCUAUGAAAUGUAUUUAUUAAAUGCUUUCUUUUUGGCUUUGACUGCCUCGCUGACAUCCCGAUUCCACUAGGGUACUCGAUGUUUGACGGGGGUCCCGCUUGUUUUUGGUAUGGCAAGAUUAGCCGCAUUAUAGAUGGCAGAUGUAAUUUCUUUUAAGCCACGUGGAAGUGUAUUUUGUGAUACACCUAGCUCCAAUUGAUAUCUGUAUAGAUCCCAACGAGCUUCCGAAAUCUUCCACCGUAUCGGACGUGUUGCAGGUGCCUCUCGUGUGUGCGUUUCGAUAUCAAUUGGAAAAUGGUCGCUGUGAUGAAGAUCAUCUAAUAUCCUCCAGGAGAAUAGUGUUGCAACGCGUGGAGAAGCUAUGGUAAGAUCGAUCACCGAAAAAGUUCCGGAUCGCGCACAGGUCUCGUCCUCUAGCAUCUGUAUGAGAUGAGUCCCAUAGGGAAUUAUGGGAAUUAAAAUCACCCAUUAGCAGAUACGAGACUGGCAUUUGAUCUAUAAGAUUCUGCAGUUCAUGCUGCUGCCAAUUUCUAUCAGGGGAGCCAUUAUUUCAAUUGCUACAGCUUGUAAAUUUGUUUGCAAUGGUAGUGGUUUGAACUGUACGUCAUCUUUUACUAUGAUCGCAACUCCACUCUUUGAUCUGAGAUUAGGAAUCAUAUCUUUCCUUACGAUUUUGUACCCGCGUAACCUAUAUGGCUGACCAGGUCUAAAUCUUUAAUUUUAUUUAACUUACAUUUCUGAGAAUUUUAUUUCACUUUUAUUCUGUUAUCAUUGU